UGCACUAACAUAAGUUUUCUACAACAAGCCUUGGUAGAUAUUCCACUAUUAUAUUAUUGUAAGAGAAAAGUAAAUUUUUUGAAUUAGUCCUUUAUGGUCUUCCUUUUACCCCAUUAAACUUUGUCUCUCCCUAUUUUAUGAUUGUUUCUUUCAAAAGCCCAUAAAAUUGGGUGGUUGGUGCCCUAUAGGGAAAUAAUGUACAAAGAAACUUUUUAUAUGAUUAUCCAAGCAAACUGGAAAGAGAAUAGCAUUUUUCAAUUCAAUGUCAAUCGACUCGACUACUACCAGCUUGUUUAUUAUGUUUAAACAACAACUUUUUUGAACUCUGGGCCAUUGAUUAAUGCAAAUUCCAGAUGUAUCUCCAACCCUUUCAAG
rnacentral:misc_RNA from 1 species